rnacentral:rRNA from 1 species
CCUACGGGAGGCAGCAGUGAGGAAUAUUGGUCAAUGGACGAGAGUCUGAACCAGCCAAGUAGCGUGAAGGAUGACUGCCCUAUGGGUUGUAAACUUCUUUUAUAUGGGAAUAAAACGUUCCACGUGUGGGAUUUUGUAUGUACCAUAUGAAUAAGGAUCGGCUAACUCCGUGCCAGCAGCCGCGGUAAUACGGAGGAUACGAGCGUUAUCCGGAUUUAUUGGGUUUAAAGGGAGCGUAGGUGGAUUGUUAAGUCAGUUGUGAAAGUUUGCGGCUCAACCGUAAAAUUGCAGUUGAAACUGGCAGUCUUGAGUACAGUAGAGGUAGGCGGAAUUCGUGGUGUAGCGGUGAAAUGCUUAGAUAUCACGAAGAACUCCGAUUGCGAAGGCAGUUCACUGGACUGCAACUGACACUGAGGCUCGAAAGUGUGGGUAUCAAACAGGAUUAGAUACCCGGGUAGUC